AUUGAACGCUGGCGGCAGGCCUAACACAUGCAAGUCGAGCGGAUGAAGGGAGCCUGCUCCUGGAUUCAGCGGCGGACGGGUGAGUAAUGCCUAGGAAUCUGCCUGGUAGGGGGGGAUAACGUCCGGAAACGGGCGCUAAUACCGCAUACGUCCUGAGGGAGAAAGUGGGGGAUCUUCGGACCUCACGCUAUCAGAUGAGGCUAGGUCGGAUUAGCUAGUUGGUGGGGUAAAGGCCUACCAAGGCGACGAUCCGUAACUGGUCUGAGAGGAUGAUCAGUCACACUGGAACUGAGACACGGUCCAGACUCCUACGGGAGGCAGCAGUGGGGAAUAUUGGACAAUGGGCGAAAGCCUGAUCCAGCCAUGCCGCGUGUGUGAAGAAGGUCUUCGGAUUGUAAAGCACUUUAAGUUGGGAGGAAGGGCAGUAAGUUAAUACCUUGCUGUUUUGACGUUACCAACAGAAUAAGCACCGGCUAACUUCGUG
rnacentral:rRNA from 1 species